CUUCAGAGGAGUUGCAUGCAACACAAUUUUGCCCACUGAGCCUUUGCAGACUGCUCUCGCAUUACCAUGAAGGAUGAAGGAUAAAGGAUGGCAAUGGCUUGUUUUAAGAAGAGGAUGAGGCUAUUUCUACACUGUGACUGCAUUUGAGAAGUUACUUGCAGAAGAACAGAGACUUGAACUCACACACAGGUGGGUUGUGAGCUGACUGGUGCAUAAGAGAGCUGAGCCCCUACAAAGCCCUGCCAGUUGUGGAUGAUCCCAUCUUUUCAGGAUCCAACCUAAUUCUCUCACCAUCUUGUAUAUCUAGGUGGCCAAGGACUGAGUAAGCUGCAGAUGACAGAAUUACUCUGGCACCUCUGGGGUAGCCCCUUUGGCCAGAAAUGUGGUCCAUGGGUGAAUCUGGUGUGAAAGAAACCUUGCAGCAAACUAACACAAAUUGGUGAAGGAGAUUAUUGUCCAAGGAUGCCAGCCCAGCACCUUACACCUCCACUGGAAAUACAGCAAGUUGCACAAAAAGAAACAGAGGAGAUUCCUCGGAUCAGUAUUCAGAGUUACCUCCUCAGGCCCUAGCUCCAUUUCAAACAGCAAAACAAAUACACAGAAUAAAAUUCUGAAGGUAAGGAAAAAUAAAAGAAGCAAUUUAUUGUCUUUCCUUGAUCCCACUGCAAAUCCAGAGGAAAGUGGACAGUCCUGUCUUCAGAUGAUGGUUGAAAGAAGGAUUCUCAUGGCAGAGUGAGUUCUUAAUUUCUGAACUUUGCCAUUCACCUGCCUGGGCACACCACUGAAGACAUCACUACCUGUUAAUUUCAUCAGCAUUCCACUUCUGUGAUUCAUCUAAAUUUCAUAAUGUAAUAAACCCUCCCUACACACAUUAGCACUGCUAGAUUAGAAUGUUUUACAUAUACAUUUGUUAUCUUGGGGACAGAAUUAGUAUUUUCUAGUCAAUGUAAUUUACAUGAAUGCAAGAUAACUUUCAGUGGGAAAUGCUCACACUGAAUGUAUCUGAAGGUAAUAAUAGCUAUAAACUUUACUUAUUUGUUAUCUCCUGGAGAUAGAUUACACUUUCUAUUAAUAAGAAUAAUCCACAGUACUGGGA